rnacentral:rRNA from 1 species
GAUGAACGCUAGCGGCGUGCUUAACACAUGCAAGUCGAACGAGAAGUGAAGACGGAACCCUUCGGGCGGAAGGCUUUAUUUCGAGUGGCGGACGGGUGAGUAACGCGUGGGUAACCUGCCUCAUACAGGGGGAUAACAGUUGGAAACGACUGUUAAUACCGCAUAAGACCACAGCACCGCAUGGUGCGGGGGUAAAAACUCCGGUGGUAUGAGAUGGACCCGCGUUCGAUUAGCCAGUUGGCGGGGUAACGGCCCACCAAAGCGACGAUCGAUAGCCGAUCUGAGAGGAUGACCGGCCACAUUGGGACUGAGACACGGCCCAAACUCCUACGGGAGGCAGCAGUGGGGAAUAUUGCACAAUGGGGGAAACCCUGAUGCAGCGACGCCGCGUGAGUGAAGAAGUAUUUCGGUAUGUAAAGCUCUAUCAGCAGGGAAGAAAAUGACGGUACCUGAGUAAGAAGCCCCGGCUAACUACGUG